rnacentral:rRNA from 1 species
GAUGAACGCUGGCGGCGUGCUUAACACAUGCAAGUCGAACGAACCUUCGGGUUAGUGGCGGACGGGUGAGUAACGCGUGAGAAUCUGCCCUCAGGAGGGGGAUAACGGUUGGAAACGACCGCUAAUACCCCAUAUGCCUAUUGGUGAAAUGAAUUUCGCCUGAGGAUGAGCUCGCGUCUGAUUAGCUAGUUGGUGAGGUAAUGGCUCACCAAGGCUUCGAUCAGUAGCUGGUCUGAGAGGAUGAUCAGCCACACUGGGACUGAGACACGGCCCAGACUCCUACGGGAGGCAGCAGUGGGGAAUUUUCCGCAAUGGGCGAAAGCCUGACGGAGCAACGCCGCGUGAGGGACGAAGGCCUCUGGGCUGUAAACCUCUUUCUCAAGGAAGAAGAUAUGACGGUACUUGAGGAAUAAAGCCACGGCUAAUUCCGUGCCAGCAGCCGCUGUAAU